ensembl:lncRNA
GUUGAAGGUCCAGUAGAGUCCUGCAGAGGGUCCGGUAGGUCCUGUUGAAGGUCCAGUAGAGUCCUACAGAGGGUCCGGUAGGUCCUGUUGAAGGUCCGGUAGAGUUCUACAGAGGUUCCUGCAGGUCUUGUUGAGGACCCGGUAAAGGGUCCGAGAGGUCCACAAAGACACCUAAAAUUGCUGCUGGUCAGAGGUCUGUUGUUCACUUCCCCAGAACACAAUGAGCGGAGGUGCUGUCGAGCAAGGCACGUUUAUCUACAGUUGAUCCUGAAGGAGAGCAGGAAGUCUGGGUCCCUCUCAUCAACUCCUUCAUGUGGUUCUCCAGGCUCCUCAGAGAGGAGACGUUUCCACUCUGUGAGGGUUUGAUGGUUGAUGGGGGUGAAGAGGAGGAGGAGGAGGAGGAGGAGGAGGAGCUUGUCUGCAGAGAGGAGACAACAGCUUAUGUUUUCAUUCAUAUCUUCUCACAAGUUACAUCAAAAUGAUCCUAUACAAAUCCUGGGUGAAUGCAAGAAAAACAGAAUAUUUGUUAUGUUAUAUAGAAAUAACAACAAAUCCUCAGCAUGUGGAUGAAACUAAUUAUUCUGACAAUAAAGUAAUGAUAUAAAUACAAAUAAAUCCUGAAUGUAAUUCAAAAUAAUGUCAGAAAAUCAACAAACAAAGUCAAAAUAUUAAUGUAAUUAAAGGCAGAAUAUAAAUAGUCCGAAUGUAAAGAGUCGUCGUCCCCGUGAGGGUCUCUGGUUGGUGGGAUUGUCGUACCUGUUGCGAGCAGUUGCCAGGGCGACGGCUCUGUGAUGCGGCGGUUUGGCGGCGGCGGCGCAGUUGGGGUGGGGGGAGAUGUGGGUGCUGGACGCCGGCGGCAGGAGGCGGGGCUUCACUGGCACCACGGGUUUGAGUGGAACAGCAACCUGACGAGAAAUAAAUGUUUCAAAUUAGAAGUUUUAAAAAGCUUUACAGGAAGUGAUUCACUGAUGCAGACAAAGGGAGUGUAAUUAAUUACUGAAUAAAACCGUUGUGGUGAAAAUCCGAUGGUUCUAAAUCCAACCAGAAACUGGCGAGCCCCACGCUCUCUCUAGUUCCUGAACGCCCCACUUCUGUCAAGUAUUGUGAUGUCAUAGCCCAGAACAACCAAUCACAUCGCACCUGAUGCCGAUGGAACCAAUAUAAAUCGUCAGUUCUCAAUCGGGAUCAACUAUUACAUCACUUCCUGUGCUAGGUACAUGCAUGCUACGUGCUAACACUUAGCAGCUAGUAACCCGGCUGUACCUGUGCAGGUGUGAGUGGGUUAGGGGGGAGGGACUUGUUGGCCGGAGCUGAUCGACUCCCCCGCAUUUAGGGGACAUAGUUAUAGAUAUGAAUAUGUAUAGUAGAUAUGAAAUACUGUUUGUUGGGUUCACUGUCGAUAGUGUGAGUGGGAACAUUCAGCUCCCCCUAGAGGCUCAGAGGGGACCUGCAGACCCCCCGGGGUGUGAUAAAUACAAUGUAUUGUGAUUAUACAUUAUACGUGUGUUCAUCACGUAAAUGUUAGAGCUCAUUUUAAUAACUUUACAAACUGUAGGUAGUUCAAUCAUGAUGUUUUAUCACUGAUUAAUUAGCUGAUAAGAACAAUAAUGUGAAUCUGUAAAGAAACUGAAAGCCGCCGCGUGUUUCUGCGUCUUUACGCGCUGGUUUCACUUCCUGGUUGUAAAGUCCUGCGUGUGUUGCAGAGCGAUUCACCUCCAGAACAACAGGUGGAGUCACGUGUUUUGUUGAAGACGACCUGGAGAGUCACGUCUUGGUGUGUGGAAGUCGCUGGUUGCUUUAUUUACUCCAAGAGCAUAAACAUAACAUAACUAGGCUUUAGAGUCGCAUUCGGUGUGAACGUAACAUCACACACACACACACACACAUUACCGGUUGUGUUGGCGGCCUUUGUGCGUCGGACCUCCCACACACACACACAAGAACUUCUUACGGAACCGUGGGCAGCGCAGCACGAGGAAGAGGAGCAGUUAGGGCAGGACGAAGAGGAAGAUGACGAGCAGCGCCUCUCGUACCGGGUCAGACCCUGGAGGAGAGGGAGGAGAAUUAGU